rnacentral:rRNA from 1 species
AUUGAACGCUGGCGGCAGGCCUAACACAUGCAAGUCGAGCGGAUGAAGGGAGCUUGCUCCUGGAUUCAGCGGCGGACGGGUGAGUAAUGCCUAGGAAUCUGCCUGGUAGUGGGGGACAACGUUUCGAAAGGAACGCUAAUACCGCAUACGUCCUACGGGAGAAAGCAGGGGACCUUCGGGCCUUGCGCUAUCAGAUGAGCCUAGGUCGGAUUAGCUAGUUGGUGAGGUAAUGGCUCACCAAGGCGACGAUCCGUAACUGGUCUGAGAGGAUGAUCAGGCAACCUGGAACUGAGACACGGUCCAGACUCCUACGGGAGGCAGCAGUGGGGAAUAUUGGACAAUGGGCGAAAGCCUGAUCCAGCCAUGCCGCGUGUGUGAAGAAGGUCUUCGGAUUGUAAAGCACUUUAAGUUGGGAGGAAGGGUUGUAGAUUAAUACUCUGCAAUUUUGACGUUACCGACAGAAUAAGCACCGGCUAACUCUGUGCCAGCCGCCGCCGUAAGAC